rnacentral:tRNA from 1 species
CUCUCGGUAGCUCAGCAGGAUAGAGCACAGGUUUCCUAAACCUGGGGUCAUGGGUUCGAAUCCCUUCUGGGAGGCCG